rnacentral:rRNA from 1 species
AGAGUUUGAUUAUGGCUCAAAUUGAACGCUGGCGGCAUGCUUUACACAUGCAAGUCGAACGGCAGCACGGGUGCUUGCACCUGGUGGCGAGUGGCGGACGGGUGAGUAAUGCAUCGGAACGUGUCCUUAAGCGGGGGAUAACGCAUCGAAAGAUGUGCUAAUACCGCAUAAUCUCUGAGGAGAAAAGCAGGGGAUCGUAAGACCUUGCGCUUUUGGAGCGGCCGAUGUCUGAUUAGCUAGUUGGUGGGGUAAUGGCCUACCAAAGCUUCGAUCAGUAGCUGGUCUGAGAGGACGACCAGCCACACUGGGACUGAGACACGGCCCAGACUCCUACGGGAGGCAGCAGUGGGGAAUUUUGGACAAUGGGCGCAAGCCUGAUCCAGCCAUGCCGCGUGAGUGAAGAAGGCCUUCGGGUUGUAAAGCUCUUUCAGCCGGGAAGAAAAGACCGCGACUAAUAAUCGUGGUUCAUGACGGUACCGGAAGAAGAAGCACCGGCUAACUACGUGCCAGCAGCCGCGGUAAUACGUAGGGUGCGAGCGUUAAUCGGAAUUACUGGGCGUAAAGGGUGCGCAGGCGGUUUUGUAAGUCAGAUGUGAAAUCCCCGGGCUUAACCUGGGAACUGCGUUUGAAACUACAAAACUAGAGUGUAGCAGAGGGGGGUGGAAUUCCAUGUGUAGCAGUAAAAUGCGUAGAGAUAUGGAAGAACACCGAUGGCGAAGGCAGCCCCCUGGGUUAACACUGACGCUCAGGCACGAAAGCGUGGGGAGCAAACAGGAUUAGAUACCCCGGUAGUCCACGCCCUAAACGAUGUCAACUAGUUGUCGGGCCUUAAUAGGCUUGGUAACGUAGCUAACGCGUGAAGUUGACCGCCUGGGGAGUACGGUCGCAAGAUUAAAACUCAAAGGAAUUGANCGGGGACCCGCACAAGCGGUGGAUUAUGUGGAUUAAUUCGAUGCAACGCGAAAAACCUUACCUACCCUUGACAUGUACCGGAGCUUGCUGAGAAGUGAGUGUGCCCGAAAGGGAACGGUAACACAGGUGCUGCAUGGCUGUCGUCAGCUCGUGUCGUGAGAUGUUGGGUUAAGUCCCGCAACGAGCGCAACCCUUGUCAUUAAUUGCCAUCAUUCAGUUGGGCACUUUAAUGAGACUGCCGGUGACAAACCGGAGGAAGGUGGGGAUGACGUCAAGUCCUCAUGGCCCUUAUGGGUAGGGCUUCACACGUAAUACAAUGGCG